rnacentral:lncRNA from 1 species
AACAAUGUAAUCAUACUGAGGAGUAAGUGAUCUCACUACCUUUUCAAUGAAUACUUGUUCAGAGAGAGUUUCUCCAUAAGAUUUCAUCUUAUUUGUGAUCAGAAUUACUCUAAAGAUGUAAUCAGGUAACUUCUCAUUAUUCUUCAUGUUGAGAUUCUCAUACUGCUUACAUAGAGGACUGAAACUUCACCUUCUUCACUGAUGCAUCACCUC